ACUACGGGAGGCUGCAGUGGGGGAUAUUGCACAAUGGGGGGAACCCUGAUGCAGCGACGCCGCGUGGGUGAAGAAGCGCCUCGGCGCGUAAAGCCCUGUCAGCAGGGAAGAAAAUGACGGUACCUGAAGAAGAAGCCCCGGCUAACUACGUGCCAGCAGCCGCGGUAAUACGUAGGGGGCAAGCGUUAUCCGGAUUUACUGGGUGUAAAGGGGGCGCAGACGGCGAUGCAAGCCAGGAGUGAAAGCCCGGGGCCCAACCCCGGGACUGCUCUUGGAACUGCGUGGCUGGAGUGCAGGAGGGGCAGGCGGAAUUCCUGGUGUAGCGGUGAAAUGCGUAGAUAUCAGGAGGAACACCGGUGGCGAAGGCGGCCUGCUGGACUGCAACUGACGUUGAGGCCCGAAAGCGUGGGGAGCAAACAGGAUUAGAUACCCGGGUAGUC
rnacentral:rRNA from 1 species